rnacentral:rRNA from 1 species
AAACCCCGACUCCGGGAGGGGUGUAUUUAUUAGAUAAAAAACCAACGCCCUUCUGGGCUCCUUGGUGAUUCAUAAUAACUAAACGAAUCGCAUGGCCUUGCGCCGGCGAUGGUUCAUUCAAAUUUCUGCCCUAUCAACUUUCGAUGGUAGGAUAGUGGCCUACCAUGGUAUCAACGGGUAACGGGGAAUUAGGGUUCUAUUCCGGAGAGGGAGCCUGAGAAACGGCUACCACAUCCAAGGAAGGCAGCAGGCGCGCAAAUUACCCAAUCCCGACACGGGGAGGUAGUGACAAUAAAUACUGAUACAGGGCUCUUACGGGUCUUGUAAUUGGAAUGAGUACAAUUUAAAUCCCUUAACGAGGAACAAUUGGAGGGCAAGUCUGGUGCCAGCAGCCGCGGUAAUUCCAGCUCCAAUAGCGUAUAUUAAAGUUGUUGCAGUUAAAAAGCUCGUAGUUGAACCUUGGGCCUGGCUGGCCGGUCCGCCUCACCGCGUGCACUGGUCCGGCCGGGCCUUUCCUUCUGGGGAUCCGCAUGCCCUUUACUGGGUGUGUCGGGGAACCAGGACUUUUACUUUGAAAAAAUUAGAGUGUUCAAAGCAGGCCUUUGCUCGAAUACAUUAGCAUGGAAUAAUAGAAUAGGACGUGCGGUUCUAUUUUGUUGGUUUCUAGGACCGCCGUAAUGAUUAAUAGGGAUAGUCGGGGGCAUCAGUAUUCAAUUGUCAGAGGUGAAAUUCUUGGAUUUAUUGAAGACUAACUACUGCGAAAGCAUUUGCCAAGGAUGUUUUCAUUAA